rnacentral:rRNA from 1 species
CAGUGGGGAAUCUUCCGCAAUGGACGAAAGUCUGACGGAGCAACGCCGCGUGAGUGAAGAAGGUUUUCGGAUCGUAAAGCUCUGUCUUCAAGGACGAAUGUAGAUAUUGUGAAUAAUGAUAUUUAAUGACGGUACUUGAGGAGGAAGCCACGGCUAACUACGUGCCAGCAGCCGCGGUAAUACGUAGGUGGCAAGCGUUGUCCGGAAUUAUUGGGCGUAAAGGGAGCGCAGGUGGGAAUAUCAGUCUGUCUUAAAAGUUCGGGGCUCAACCCCGUGAUGGGAUGGAAACUAUAUUUCUUGAGUGCAGGAGAGGAAAGUGGAAUUCCUAGUGUAGCGGUGAAAUGCGUAGAUAUUAGGAGGAACACCAGUGGCGAAGGCGACUUUCUGGACUGUAACUGACACUGAGGCUCGAAAGCCAGGGUAGUGAACGGGAUUAGAUACCCCGGUAAUCCUGGCCGUAAACGAUGGGUACUAG